rnacentral:rRNA from 1 species
GACCAGGGCUACACACGUGCUACAAUGGCGCAUACAAAGAGAAGCGACCUCGCGAGAGCAAGCGGACCUCAUAAAGUGCGUCGUAGUCCGGAUUGGAGUCUGCAACUCGACUCCAUGAAGUCGGAAUCGCUAGUAAUCGUGGAUCAGAAUGCCACGGUGAAUACGUUCCCGGGCCUUGUACACACCGCCCGUCACACCAUGGGAGUGGGUUGCAAAAGAAGUAGGUAGCUUAACCUUCGGGAGGGCGCUUACCACUUUGUGAUUCAUGACUGGGGUGAAGUCGUAACAAGGUAACCGUAGGGGAACCUGCGGUUGGAUCACCUCCUUACCUUAAAGAA